CCUUCUGUUCAUUUGGCAGGCGUGAGACUCCAAGGGCGUCCGGGGCGGGUCCCGGGUGGGGAUGUCAGACAGUGACCGGCGUCAGCCCUCGGAGGCCGCGGUCACGGAAACCCGACCCCGAGUGCGGGGAGCCCGAGGGCCGCGGGCCGGGCUCGCGGGGCCGGCGGGGACCGUCCGAGCGCCGCCAGGCCCUGGCGCGAGCCCGGGAUCUGCUCCCAGCAGCCCCGCGCACCGCCCGCGGACCCCUGCCUGCCAUUGUGUUUCGCGUGACUUUUUGCUGGUCUGUUCUGCUGAUACCGGAAAACGGGAGACUUUAAGUAAACGUGCAGUGAUGAGCAAAGCUUCGGCCUCACCAUUCCCGCCUUCCGCUGUGUCCCCGGAAUUGUGCCGCAGGCCCUCCGCGGGAGGCCCCAGGCUGAGCACGCUGAGCCUCCUCGUCCUGUCUUCAGAGGAGACCGGGUUAGAAACUCAGAGAAGGUUCAAAGACUUCUUACCUGGAGCCAUAGAUUUACACACUCCCAGGGCCGUAGGAGCACUAGAAUCUGGACUUGGAAGAGUAGAUGCAAUCCUGGACUAUAAAUUGUGAGAGAAGACAACUUCUAGCUUGUUUAAGCAAGUAAGCAACAAGCAAGGUGAGUAAAACUGUAAGUGGUUGUUGCUCUUUUGGGGAAUGAAUGAGCUGUCUUUGCUGCCUGACCAGUGACACCAGAAUAUAGUAGCCGGAAACUGCAAACAUGCAUCUCAAUGUCACAGUCUCUUUGCAUCAGGAAUUUAGGGAACAGCUUAACAAGACACCUUUGCUGAAGACCUAUUACGAGGCUGCACUCAAGCUGCCAACCAGGACUGCAAGUCAUCUUCGAGACUCAACAGAGUUGCCGUAUCUGCUCCCAUGCUCAGUCUGUGGUUGCUAAAACGGCCAUGCGGUGGUACCAGUUGGGCGGCCUGUAUGGAGAUGCAGCACAGGGACGGGUAUUCUGCAUCCAGACCCUAUUCGUUAUCCUAAGGUGGAGGCUACCACAUGCAGGGGGGCUAUGGUGACAGCUGCAGUGUCCCCGCAUGGGGACACGUGUGUUGGUAGAUGGGGAGCUGCAGGGCAGUCGUUCCUCUGCCAGGCAUGGUAGGCAGGGUGGUCACUCUCCACAAGGUGCAGUAGGUGGAGCAGACUUAAGUCUUAAAUUUAUCAAUAAAAUUUAGACAUAGUCAUCAUGACUGAAAACCAGCUCUAAUCACAGAGACAGCUCCAACCAGUCACAAGAUUAUGGAGCUAUUCAACUCAGCCUAGCCCUUGUGGAAAAGCUGCCAGUCUGCUUUCUUGGCUUCAACCCACAGAGCAGCAAGCUAAUGAUAAGUUUAAGAAAUACAUUUAUACAAUGCAUAUAUCAUUCUAGGCUUUGUUCUAAAUGUUUGUAUAUAUUUAUUGGCACCUGAUUUUUGAAACUGGAUGGCUGUUUUGAUUGAGAGGCACAGGAUGGAAGACAGCCUUUUGGGAAAUGAAUGGAAUUGACAGAGCAGAGUUUUGGGUGAAGUUAGUACACUUUCUCUGCAAAGGGCUGGGGAAUAAAUAUUUUUAACUUUGCUGCCCAGAUGGUCUCUGUUGCAGCUGCUCAACUCUGCUGAGGUUGUGGGAAAGAAACCAGAGAUAUAAGUAAAUGUGCAUAGCUGUGUUUCAAUAAAACUUUAUUUAUAAAAGCAGAAAGCAGGCAGGAUAUGGCCCAUGGGUAGUUGUUUGCCUCUGGUGUAGUGCAAGCUUUUGGUAAGAAAGAAAGAAGAGGGGACACUGGUUUGAGGGAGCCCUUGUGUUUGAAAGAAAGACAAAAAGAAUCUCAAAAAUUUAAACCCCAGCAGAAGGCUCAGUGGGGCACCAUCCUCAGAGGCCUUGCUGGGAGGACAGUAGUUGUGACUAGAUCACUCACAGCUCGUCCUCCUUGCUUUUCCUGUUGUGCAGAAAUGUUCAAUGUCAGUCGGCCAGAGAGCAGAGAUGGUGCCAGCCCUGUCGACUGGCAUCCCUAUAACUGAUUCAUGGGUGGACAGAGUCAGGCCAAUCCCCUGCCUGCUGUGAGGGAGUCUACACACCAAGGAACCCAGGGGCUUCAUCAGACAAAGGAACAGAAGGACUGUUGACAGACUCUAAGCAAAGCAGGCUGUGGCAAAGGGUCCACCCAGGUGUGGGCUGCACUGUGGGCCCAGCUUCUAUGUCCCUGGUCACUACAGACUUUAAAUCCAUAUGGAAAGCUGCGUCCGAAAACCCCUUGUCUGAACUUUUGCAUGUAGUUGGAAACUCUGCUCCAACAUGACUCGGAUUCUCCAAGCAAGAGGAUGCACAUGCUCUCCCCUGGAGCCUCUGGAGGGAGCACCGAUUAUGUUCACACACCAAUUAUGGCUCAGUGGAACUGAUUUUGGAUUUCAGACUUUCAGACCAAUAAGAGGAUAAAUUUGAGUUGUUUUAAGCUAUUUAAAGAAAAAGAUGGGAUGUUUUAUUCUUACUGAUAAAAUUUCAGUUUCUGAUAGCCUGUGAUUUUAUAGGACAAGGUUUCUCAGCA